rfam:Caenorhabditis brenneri strain PB2801 C_brenneri-6.0.1_Cont34.27, whole genome shotgun sequence.
UUCUACGGACGUCAAUGAACCUUUGUCAUUUCCCUCGGCGGUGAUGUUUCAUGCAGCGAAUAUCACCGGGUGGGAAACGGCAAAGGUCCGACUUCUCCGU